rnacentral:lncRNA from 1 species
AAGCGCUCUACCACUGAGCUAAAUCCCCAGCCCCUUCUCAGAAUUUCUUACUGUCAGGCUUAGGUGCUUUUCUUGGUCUUAGAUCUAACGAGGUCCAAUUUUGAAAACAAUUACAGUUAAUUUACACAGAAACAUUUUAAAGCGUCAUUUUGUCAAGAAUUUAGUUUCUUUCAUUGCAUAUGUUGCUUAAUUAGAUUUCUGUUUUGUUUUCUUAGAUAAUGCCUGCGUUCUUUUUGCCGUCUCUGUUCUUAUGUUUAUAAUCAGUUCAAUGCUGGUUUAUGGAGCCAUUUCUUAUCAAGUGGGCUGGCUGAUUCCUUUCUUCUGCUACCGACUUUUUGACUUCGUUCUCAGUUGUCUGGUAGCCAUCAGUUCUCUCACUUACUUGCCAAGAAUCAAAGAAUAUCUGGAUCAGUUGCCUGAUUUCCCCUACAAAGAUGACCUCCUGGCAUUGGACUCCAGCUGCCUUCUGUUCAUUGUACUUGUGUUCUUUGUGGUAUUCAUCAUUUUUAAG